rnacentral:rRNA from 1 species
AUCUAGCUCAUGCAGAGAUGCUUUGAGUGCCUUCGGGAAUUAGAAUACAGGUGCUGCAUGGCUGUCGUCAGCUCGUGUCGUGAGAUGUUGGGUUAAGUCCCGCAACGAGCGCAACCCUUGUCCUUAGUUACCAGCGGGUUAAGCCGGGAACUCUAAGGAUACUGCCAGUGACAAACUGGAGGAAGGCGGGGACGACGUCAAGUCAUCAUGGCCCUUACGACCAGGGCUACACACGUGCUACAAUGGUAGGUACAGAGGGCAGCUACACAGCGAUGUGAUGCGAAUCUCAAAAAGCCUAUCGUAGUCCAGAUUGGAGUCUGCAACUCGACUCCAUGAAGUAGGAAUCGCUAGUAAUCGCGGAUCAGAAUGCCGCGGUGAAUACGUUCCCGGGUCUUGUACACACC